AACAAAAUAACUGGCAGAUAAUACUAUAUAGAACUGGUUAUACUAUACUAUUUAGUGUGUUAUCACAGUGUUAUCUGCCAAUAAAUAGCUUUUUUUAUUAUUCAGCAAAAAAACAAAACAGCUAUGAAAACCAAAACUAUUCGAGUAAAUCACGUUAAACGUAACAAUAUAAAACGUUUUUUUUUUCCCGUGUUUAUAUUGUGAAUAUUGUGUUCAACUUCAAAGUUGUUGUUAUUUUCCAAUCUCAGCGGCAGAAAUUGUAUUGAUUUUAUUGAUAUCGGCUUUAGUUGGAUCUCUUUUGAAAUAUAGCGGCACUUGUUUAAGAAUCACGAUAGCAAAAUGGCGUUUGGCAGUAGGUCCAAGAAUGAUUUUCGUCGUAAAUGGGACAAAGAUGAAUAUGAAAAGCUGGCCCAGAAACGACUCAGAAGAGAGACAGUAAAAAGAUGAGCUUCUCCGCCACAGAGAUUAUAAAGUGGAUCUGGAAUCAAAACUGGGAAAGACAGUCGUCAUCACAAAGACCACACCACAGGCUGAGAUGGGAGGGUGGGUGGGUGUCUGCUAGACAAUGACCGUUCUAGCACUAUGAGCAAGUACUACUGCAAUGUCUGUGAUUUGUGUAGUAAACGAUUCCAUAAAUGUCAGAUCAGAGAAACCUGGGAAUGUCCAUGUUAAUGAGGAGAAAGCAAAAGCCUACAGAAAAGAAAGGCAGAAGAAGAUCUCAACUUUGAAGAUGAUGAUGAAAUGGCUGCUGUGAUGGGAUUCUCAGGUUUUGGAUCCUCCAGAAAAAGGCCACUGAUCACUCAUUUUAAACGUUUGCUCACCAAGGCCUUCUCUGAAUAGGUUUCCCUGAACUUUAUAAAAAUUUGCAAGAACUUCAUUAUUGUUUCACAGGACCAUACAGAUUUUUAUCCCAUAUUCUGUUAAAUCCUUCUGAUUCACCAAGUGGAGGGUAACCUGUUUUUGGCCCUUGAUCAAAGAGCAUCAGCAUAAUCUAAAUCGAACUCCAUGUUAUGAAGUUUCUGUUAUAAGUUCGUCAUGUAAAUAGGGCUGCAUAUGCCUAAAUGUUUUAUGAGUUGUGUCUGAAGUUACCCUCUUAUACCUUCCACACAAUGAAACAGUAAAGGUUCAAAUUAAAACAAUAUGACCUCUGUUAAAGAUAAGACUUGAUGCUUCUAUUCCCUAACGAUUCUGUAGAUAUGGGUCAGACAAGGGAAUGAUAAACCUGUUAAUUGUGUAAUUAUAGAGGGCAUUUUUUAUUAUAAGGUAGAUUGUAAUUUAUGGAUAUUUUACAUUAAAAAAAUUAUCUAACA